rnacentral:tRNA from 1 species
AGGCGCGUAGCUCAGCGGUAGAGCGCUGCUACAACAUAGCGGAGGUCGGAGGUUCGAAUCCUGCCCGCGCCUACCA